rnacentral:rRNA from 1 species
CCCUUAGAUGUCCGGGGCCACACGCGCGCUACAAUGGAUGAAUCAACGCGUCAUCCUGGCCCGAAAGGGUUGGGGAACCGCUGAACCUCAUCCGUGGUUGGGAUUGGGGUUUGUAAUUAUUCCCCAUGAACUAGGAAUUCCCAGUAAGCGCGAGUCAUAAGCUCGCGUUGAUUACGUCCCUGCCCUUUGUACACACCGCCCGUCGCUACUACCGAUUGAAUGGUCCGGUGAAAUCUUCGGAUCUGAGAGAUGUUGGAUUAAUUUCUGACGCCUUUUGGAAAAGUCGCUUAAACCUUAUCAUUUAGAGGAAGGUGAAGUCGUAACA